rnacentral:rRNA from 1 species
CCUACGGGUGGCAGCAGUGAGGAAUAUUGGUCAAUGGCCGAGAGGCUGAACCAGCCAAGUCGCGUGAGGGAAGAAUGUCCUAUGGAUUGUAAACCUCUUUUGUCAGGGAGCAAAGUCACCCACGUGUGGGUGUUGGAGAGUACCUGAAGAAAAAGCAUCGGCUAACUCCGUGCCAACAGCCGCGGUAAUACGGAGGAUGCGAGCGUUAUCCGGAUUUAUUGGGUUUAAAGGGUGCGUAGGCGGGCUGUUAAGUCAGCGGUCAAAUGUCGGGGCUCAACCCCGGCCUGCCGUUGAAACUGGCGGCCUCGAGUGGGCGAGAAGUAUGCGGAAUGCGUGGUGUAGCGGUGAAAUGCAUAGAUAUCACGCAGAACUCCGAUUGCGAAGGCAGCAUACCGGCGCCCUACUGACGCUGAGGCACGAAAGCGUGGGUAUCGAACAGGAUUAGAUACCCUUGUAGUC